UGCAAGCUUCUCUUGUGGAUUUGCUUACUGGAACUGGAUAUGUGUGCUAUUUAGGUUGCAAGAGUGAGAAAUACUCUGGCAUACGCAACUCAUAAAUUCUUUUCAAGACAAUGGAUUUGUUUGGGUUUCGAGCCCAAUUAUUACUGCCUCAGAUUGUGAAGGAGCUGGGGAGCAGUUUUACGUGACUACUUUGCUUUCAAACAGCGCUGAAGGUGGUUCUCUACUCAAAGAUAUUCCUGCUACUAAGGAUGGAAGGGUUGAUUGGUCACAGGAUUUCUUCUGCAAACCAGCAUUUCUGACAGUGUCUGGACAGCUUAAUGGUGAAACAUAUGCUUCAGCUCUAUCUGAUAUUUACACAUUUGGUCCAACGUUUAGGGCUGAAAAUUCAAACACUUCAAGGCAUCUGGCUGAAUUUUGGAUGAUUGAACCUGAGCUUGCCUUUGCGGAUCUGAACGAUGACAUGGCUUGUGCAACUGCAUAUCUCCAGUAUGUAGUAGGU